rnacentral:lncRNA from 1 species
AUGGACAUACCCAGGAUGAACUUCUCUUUUCUUUCUAUCCAUCCCAGGGACGCUGAAGCUGUCUAACCAAGAAGUUGAACUAUUAUUGUCAAAAUAUCAGCUUUUGGAAGCAUUCCCUUCAAAACCUGCACAAGACAAGGAUGCCCUCUCUCACCACUCCUAUUCAGCAUAGUAUUGGAAGUUCUGGCCAGAGCAAUCAGGCAACAGAAAGAAAUAAACGGCAUUCAAAAAGGAAGAGAGGAAGUCAAACUAUCCCUGUUUGCAGAUGACAUGAUCCUAUAUCUAGAAAACUCUAUCCUCUCAGCCUAAAGGCUUCUUAAGCUGAUAAGCAACUUUAGCAAAGUCUCAGGAUACAAAAUCAAUGCGCAAAAUUCACUAGCACUCCUACACAUCAACAACAGGGAAGCUGAGAGCCAAAUCGUGAAAAAAUUCCAAUUCACAAUUGCCACACAAAGAAUAAAAUACCUACGAAUACAGCUAACAAGGGAAGUGAAAGAUCUCUACAAGGAGAACUGCAAAACACUGCUCAAAGAAAUCAGAGACAACACAAACAAAUGGAAAAGUAUUCCAUGCUCGUGGAUAAGAAGAACCAAUAUUGUGAAAAUGGCUACACUGCCCAAAGCAAUUUAUAGAUUCAAUGCUAUUCCCAAGAAACUACCAUUGACAUUCUUCACAGAACUAGAAAAAAUUAUUUUAAAAUUCACAUGAACAGAAAAAAGAGCCUGAAUAGCCAAGAUAAUCCUAAGCAAAAAGAACAAAGCUGGAGGCAUCACACUUCCUAACUUCAAAAUAUGCUACAGGGCUAGAGUAAACAAAACAGCAUGGUACUGGCACAAGAACAGAUACGUGAACCAAUGGAACAGAAUAGAAAACCUAUAAAUAAGACCGCACACCUACAACUAUCUGAUCUUCGACAAACCUGACAAAAACAAGCAAUGGGGAAAGGAUGCCCUAUUCAAUAAAUGAUGCUGGGAUGACUGGCUAGCCAUAUGCAGAAGAUUGAAACUUGACCCCUUCCUUACACCAUAUACAAACAUUAACUCAAGAUGGAUUAAAUACUUAAAAAUCCUGGAAGACAACCUACGCAAUAUCAUUCAGGACAUCAGCACAGGCCAAGAUUUCAUGACAAAGGUGCCAAAAGCAAUUGCAACAAAAACAAAAGUUGACAAAUAGGAUCUAAUUAAACUAAAGAGCUUCUGCACAGCAAAAUAAACUAUUGACAGAGUAAACAGAAAACCUACAGAAUGGGAGAAAAUUUUUGCAAACUAUACAUCUGACAAAGGUCUAAUAUCCAGCAUCUAUAAGGAACUUAAACAAAUUUACAAGAAAAAAACAACCCCAUUAAAAAGCAAGCAAAGGAUAUGAACAGACAAGCGGCCAACAAGCAUAUGAAAAAAAGCUCAACAUCACUGAUAAUUAGAGAAAUGCAAAUCAAAACCACAAUGAGAUACCAUCUCAUGCCAGUCAGAAUGGCUUAUUAUUAAAAUGUCAAAAACGUAUUAUUAAAAAGUCAAAAAGUAGCAGAUGCUGACAAGGUUGUGGAGAAAAAGGAAUGCUUAUAUGCUGUCAAUGGUAGUGGAAAUUAGUUCAACCAUUGUGGAAGGUAGUAUGCUGAUUCCUCAAAGACCUAAAGACAGAAAUACCAUUGAAACCUGCAAUCCCAUUACUGGGUAUAUACCCAAAGGAAUAUAAAUCAUUCUGUCAUAAAGACACAUGCAUGCGUAUGUUCAUUGCAGCACUAUUCACAAGAGCAAAGACACGAAAUCAACCCAAAUGUCCAUCAAUGAUAGACUAGAUAAAGAAAAUGUGGUACAUAUACACCAUGGAAUACUAUGCAGCCAUAAAACCGAAUGAGAACAUGUCCUUUGCAGGGACAUAGAUGGACCUGGAGGCCAUUAUCCUUAGCAAACUAAUGCAGGAACAGAAAACCAGAUAUCAUGCGUUCUUACUUAUAAGUGGGAGCUAAAUGAUGAGAACACAUGAACACAAAGAGGGGAACAACAUACACUGGGGCCUAUUGGAGGGUAGAGGUUGGGAGGAGAGAGAGGAUCAGGAAAAAUAACUAAUGGGCACUAGGCUUAAUACCUGGGUGACGAAAUAAUCUAUACAAGCAACCCCCAUGACACACACUUACCUUUAUAACAAACUUGCACAUCCUGCACAUGUACCCCCAAACUUAAAAGUUAAACAACAAAAAAUAACAUACCAGCUUUUUGGUUUUUAAUUAACAUUAGAAUUUUUAUUUGUUUCCAUGUUAUUAAUUUCUGUUUUAUAUUACUUUAUUUUUUCUACUAUAAUUGGUUUCAUUUCUUAUUCACUUUUCAAGUUUUUCUGUUGAGUGUACACUGUAUUUUCAGUAUUUCUUAUUUUCUAAUAAAUAUAGUUAAGGCAACAUCUUUUCCUCUAAGUUCUUCUUUAGUUACAUCCCAGGAAUUGUGAUAUGGGAUGAACUCUAAAUUUGAUUUGUAAUUUUAAUUUUCAUGUCUUCCUUAACACAAGAGUAGAUAUAGUUUUAGACAUUUUCUGCAGUUAAUGUUUAAUUUUAUUGAAUUAUGGUAAAGGAAAAUAACCUAUUGGAUUUUGAUUUUUGGAAAAUAUUGAGAUUUUCUUAGUGUUCAGUCUUACGACAUGUUCGAUUUUGUGACUGGCCUGUGGGUUUAGGAUAUACUAUAUAUUAUCUAUUGAAAAAAUAUAUAUGUAUAUACAUCCCGUUUACACAAAUACACAAACACAAGUGUGAUAAAACUUACUGUAUUAUUUUAAAUCCUCAACAGUCUUUGAUGUUUUUGUCCAUUUCUGAGUGAAAUAUAUUAAUGUCAUGCCUUGUAAUUACAGCUUUACAGUUUGUAUUUCUACCUCAUUCUGCUGAAUGUACCUCGAGGCUAUGCUUUUAAUGCAUAAAUUGCUGACACCUAUUUCUUCUUGUAAAAUUACCCCUUUUACCUGGGAUGCCCUGGGGUAGCGGGUGAUGGGGCUAGGUCUCAGUGGCUUCUGUAAGCUGCUGUCUGUUCACCUCAUGGCAGCUGACCUGGCUCCCUGUCCUAUCCCUGGCUGCCACCCAGCACAGAGGGAGUAGGGAGAUCUUCAC